rnacentral:rRNA from 1 species
GACGAACGCUGGCGGCGUGCUUAACACAUGCAAGUCGAGCGAUGAAGUUCCUUCGGGAACGGAUUAGCGGCGGACGGGUGAGUAACACGUGGGUAACCUGCCUCAUAGAGGGGAAUAGCCUUUCGAAAGGAAGAUUAAUACCGCAUAAGAUUGUAGUUUCGCAUGAAACAGCAAUUAAAGGAGUAAUCCGCUAUGAGAUGGACCCGCGUCGCAUCAGCUAGUUGGUGAGGUAACGGCUCACCAAGGCGACGAUGCGUAGCCGACCUGAGAGGGUGAUCGGCCACAUUGGGACUGAGACACGGCCCAGACUCCUACGGGAGGCAGCAGUGGGGAAUAUUGCACAAUGGGGGAAACCCUGAUGCAGCAACGCCGCGUGAGCGAUGACGGUCUUCGGAUUGUAAAGCUCUGUCUUCAGGGACGAUAAUGACGGUACCUGAGGAGGAAGCCACGGCUAACUACGUGCCAGCAGCCGCCGCAG